UGUAUGUAUUUAUGUUUGCAUUUUCUUCAAUUGUACUGGUGAAAGUGUGAUUUGUAUGGUGUUGUAUGCAUUUGCAAGUCUUUACGUAUGUAUUUUCUGUAUCAGGAUGUAAUGAACAUAUUCAUAUAGGACCUGUCUUUUUUUUUUAUAUAUACAUCUAUUUGUUUCUCAACCACCUCUUAGGUCAAAGAGUACAUACUGUACACCAAAGAGCCCUACAACUAUGAUCCACAUGUUGCUUCUGAUUGAAUAAGGAUGGCGUCAGCAAAAGCACCGAUCACUUUGUGUGUUUCUUCAAUUGUAUUGGUGAAGGUGUGACUCUAAGGUGUUGUUUGCAUUUGGAAUUGAACUGGGUGUCGAUUUGUCAGAGAAACAAGUCAAUUUAUAGAAGUGUAUUUCAAAAGACCAAGUGAUGGAGGAUCUUCAGUUACAAAUCAGGA